rnacentral:rRNA from 1 species
GACGAACGCUGGCGGCGUGCUUAACACAUGCAAGUCGAACGGAAAGGCCCUGCUUUUGUGGGGUGCUCGAGUGGCGAACGGGUGAGUAACACGUGAGUAACCUGCCCUUGACUUUGGGAUAACUUCAGGAAACUGGGGCUAAUACCGGAUAGGAGCUCCUGCUGCAUGGUGGGGGUUGGAAAGCUUCGGCGGUUGGGGAUGGACUCGCGGCUUAUCAGCUUGUUGGUGGGGUAGUGGCUUACCAAGGCUUUGACGGGUAGCCGGCCUGAGAGGGUGAUCGGCCACAUUGGGACUGAGAUACGGCCCAGACUCCUACGGGAGGCAGCAGUGGGGAAUAUUGCACAAUGGGCGGAAGCCUGAUGCAGCAACGCCGCGUGCGGGAUGACGGCCUUCGGGUUGUAAACCGCUUUCGCCUGUGACGAAGCGUGAGUGACGGUAAUGGGUAAAGAAGCACCGGCUAACUACGUGCCAGCAGCCGCGGUGAUACGUAGGGUGCGAGCGUUGUCCGGAUUUAUUGGGCGUAAAGGGCUCGUAGGUGGUUGAUCGCGUCGGAAGUGUAAUCUUGGGGCUUAACCCUGAGCGUGCUUUCGAUACGGGUUGACUUGAGGAAGGUAGGGGAGAAUGGAAUUCCCGGUGGAGCGGUGGAAUGCGCAGAUAUCAGGAGGAACACCAGUGGCGAAGGCGGUUCUCUGGGCCUUUCCUGACGCUGAGGAGCGAAAGCGUGGGGAGCGAACAGGCUUAGAUACCCUGGUAGUCCACGCUGUAAACGGUGGGUACUAGGUGUGGGGUCCAUUCCACGGGUUCCGUGCCGUAGCUAACGCUUUAAGUACCCCGCCUGGGGAGUACGGCCGCAAGGCUAAAACUCAAAGGAAUUGACGGGGCCCCGCACAAGCGGCGGAGCAUGCGGAUUAAUUCGAUGCAACGCGUAGAACCUUACCUGGGUUUGACAUGGAUCGGGAGUGCUCAGAGAUGGGUGUGCCUCUUUUGGGGUCGGUUCACAGGUGGUGCAUGGCUGUCGUCAGCUCGUGUCGUGAGAUGUUGGGUUAAGUCCCGCAACGAGCGCAACCCUUGUUCACUGUUGCCAGCACGUUAUGGUGGGGACUCAGUGGAGACCGCCGGGGUCAACUCGGAGGAAGGUGGGGAUGACGUCAAGUCAUCAUGCCCCUUAUGUCCAGGGCUUCACGCAUGCUACAAUGGCUGGUACAGAGAGUGGCGAGCCUGUGAGGGUGAGCGAAUCUCGGAAAGCCGGUCUCAGUUCGGAUUGGGGUCUGCAACUCGACCUCAUGAAGUCGGAGUCGCUAGUAAUCGCAGAUCAGCAACGCUGCGGUGAAUACGUUCCCGGGGCU